rnacentral:rRNA from 1 species
AUUGAACGCUGGCGGCAUGCCUUACACAUGCAAGUCGAACGGUAACGGGCCUUCGGGUGCCGACGAGUGGCGAACGGGUGAGUAAUGUAUCGGAACGUACCUUUCAGUGGGGGAUAACGUAGCGAAAGUUACGCUAAUACCGCAUAUUCUGUGUGCAGGAAAGCAGGGGAUCGCAAGACCUUGCGCUGAUUGAGCGGCCGAUAUCAGAUUAGCUAGUUGGUGAGGUAAAGGCUCACCAAGGCGACGAUCUGUAGCGGGUCUGAGAGGAUGAUCCGCCACACUGGAACUGAGACACGGUCCAGACCCCUACGGGAGGCAGCAGUGGGGAAUUUUGGACAAUGGGGGCAACCCUGAUCCAGCCAUGCCGCGUGAGUGAAGAAGGCCUUUGGGUUGUAAAGCUCUUUCGGCCGGGAAGAAAUCGUAUCAGCUAAUACCUGAUGCGGAUGACGGUACCGGCAUAAGAAGCACCGGCUAACUACGUGCCAGCAGCCGCCGUAACAC